rnacentral:tRNA from 1 species
GGACCUUUAGCUCAGCUGGUUAGAGCUCUCGGCUCAUAACCGAGUGGUCGUAGGUUCA